rnacentral:misc_RNA from 1 species
AAAGUCGUAACAAGGUUUCCGUAGGUGAACCUGCGGAAGGAUCAUUAUUGAAUAAACUUGGUUGGGUUGUGCUGGCUUUUCGGAGCAUGUGCAUGCCUAGCGCCAUUUUUACCACCUGUGCACCUUUUGUAGAUUUGAAACAACUCUCGAGGAAACUCGGUUUGAGGAAUGCUGUGUGCAAACAUGGCUUUCCUUGUGUUUCAAGUCUAUGUUUUUAUUAUACCCCAUAAGAAUGUAAUAGAAUGUUAUUAAUGGGCUUUAUGCCUUUAAAUUAAUACAACUUUCAACAACGGAUCUCUUGGCUCUC